AAAGAAGAUAUGGAAAUAUCUUCCAGCGCUUAAAUACAUCCAUGCCAAUUGUCAAAUGUCAAGAGCUCACCACCUUGCUGUGGUUAAUAUUUCAGGGUCGACGCUGAAGAAUCUCAUUUCACAAGAGGACUCUGGUGCUUCUUCUAAAGCUUCUCGGUCGUUUUCCCUGCUGUCACCAUUCCGCAGCAAGCACAAGGUGAUUGUACUGUGAACAUGGAUCAGCAGCAGUUGGUAGGAAUAUCACAGUACAGUACAUACUUUGGGGACGAGUUUGGAACAGCAUCGUUUUUUAUUUCUAGUAUAUACAUGUAUGUAUACGUAAUUACGUACAUACUAAUAUACUAUACGGUGGCCUCGUCUGUAAACAGCCUAUGUGAAGCGUAUGUAUGAUGGUUGGUUUGCAUUGCAUUUGUACAUUCCUGCUGUUUUGUACCCAAACUAUUAGUGGUGUCGAGUAUGAUUGUGAAAGGAAUAUAAUACAGCCUGUCAGCAGAGUUAUUAGUUCUUAAAACCCAAGAUUUGCAAGUAUUCUUAAACAUUUUUUUUAAUUCUCAGCUAGGUCCAUAAACUCUGAAGUGAGCACCUAGUUUAUAAUUCUGGCUUUGUUCCACAGUUGUUCCAUACAUGGUAUCAUUCUAGCUUUGUUGUAAAUAAUUGACCAUGUUUGUAAAGAAUACCAAUAUUUAUGUAUUAUUCUAGUGUCCGUAUUA